rnacentral:lncRNA from 1 species
AGUUGUUCCUGAGUUGUUCCAGUUGCGGUUGCUCCUCCAAAUUUUGUUCAGCGGCCACUUGCUUUACAUGGAUUAUACUAGGUGGACGCUAAAUCGUACGUCACGGAUUAGUUUCAUAUGCUCGUGACUGAUGACUGUUCUAUACCCUCAUAUGAACAACUCGCAUUUCGCCAGCGACGAUUUUAACCACAAGAGGGCCCUGUCACCCAAUUGUCGCCGUAUCCAAUGGAAGCAACACGACAGUCGAUUACAUUGCACCGCAAAACGCCGAAAGACCCAAUCGCCAAUCGCUUGGCAAUUUUCAAUUUUGUUAAAACGAAAUUUUUCUAAAAGAACAAAGAAGGGAAUGGGCGCAA